rnacentral:rRNA from 1 species
AGUGAACACUGGCGGCGUGCUUAACACAUGCAAGUCGAACGAGAACGGAUUAUAGCUUGCUAUAAUUGUCAGCUAAGUGGCGCACGGGUGAGUAAUGUAUAGGUAAUAUGCCUCUUACUAAGGGAUAACAAAUGGAAACGUUUGCUAAUACCUUAUACUCCAUAUUAACAGAAGGUAAUAAUGGAAAGAUUUAUUGGUAAGAGAUUAGCCUGUAUUGUAUCAGUUAGUUGGUGGGGUAAUGGCUUACCAAGACUAUGACACAUAACUGGUUUGAGAGGAUGAUCAGUCACACUGGAACUGAGACACGGUCCAGACUCCUACGGGAGGCAGCAGUGGGGAAUAUUGCACAAUGGACGAAAGUCUGAUGCAGCAACGCCGCGUGGAGGAUGACACAUUUCGGUGCGUAAACUCCUUUUAUAUGAGAAGAUAAUGACGGUAUUAUAUGAAUAAGCACCGGCUAACUCCGUGCCAGCAGCCGCGGUAA